GAAGGAGGGAGAAGCAGGGACGUGGCACGCUCGGGGGGAGGAAGCGGAAGCGAAGAUGAGGUUGUAGAUCGCCAGUGUUGGAGGUUUUUAAGAAUAGGUUCCAUCCAGACCUACAUUUCUAUGAAUCCAUGUGAGCUGGUCUUCUGAAGUCAAUGGAGCUACAUCAGUUUAUGCCACAGGAACAUGGCCCAUGGUCUUUUCAAAGCUAAUGUUACUUGAUGAAAACAGGCAUCACUGAUGAAUUAGAAGCAGCUGGCGGUACCUGUUGAUUCUGGUGAAAACCUAGCAUCAUCCCUGGUGAUGUAUUUUUCAGAUGGGAUAUUUACUAUGACAGACAUACCAAUGCUGCCAAAACUGUGAGAGCAUUGUAAAUCAUGCCUGCAGCAGAAUUUUGUCACAUCCAGCUGCCAAUCGACGAGCAAAAGGCAU